UACGUAGGUGACGAGCGUUAUCCGGAAUUACUGGGCGUAAAGCGCACGCAAGCGGUUGGACAAGUUUGGCGUGAAAUCCUCUGGCUUAACCAGGGGCGGUCGCUGGAGACUGUUCGGCUUGAGGCGAUGAGAGGGGUGCAGAAUUCCCGGUGUAGUGGUGGAAUGCGUAGAGAUCGGGAGGAAUACCAGUGGCGAAAGCGGCACCCUGGCGUCGUACUGACGCACAUGUGCGAAAGCGUGGGGAGCAAACAGG
rnacentral:rRNA from 1 species